CGCGCAAUCGUCUUAAAGGACGGACGUUGCCGGUCGCGUUCACGAGCCUUGUGCCGUGUCGUCUCACGCGCCGGUUCGAUUUCAAGUAAUAUAGUUUAAUCGGCAGUGUUCGCCGUGGACAAUUUAAUUCUUUUUUCUAAAUACUUAAUUCGCAGUAAUGAGCUACCUAACGAACUAGUCAAAUAACGUAUUUUCCGUUGUGCACCCCGGUUAAGGGGUGCAUUUGUACGGCGUAAGCCUACGGCGGCGGCAGGAAGGACCUGCUGAUCCGGCCGCAGAGUGGGAAGCCAGCCAGAGUCUACCUCGAUUCACCCACCAGCUGACCUCGGCGCUUCCCGAGACGUCCCGACGACCGACCCGGGCCCUGCUCAUUCACCUUGCCACGUCAGGGGAGUACCCUACUACGUCAGUGAAAUCAGACAGGCUUAUUGAUAACCUAACGGACCUUACCACGACCCCCGCUCAGUUUUUUUCCCAUUAUUUUUUUUGUUAAAAUAUAAUUAGUAAUUUGUAA